ACGGCUCAGUAACACGUGGACAACCUUACCCUUGAGAGAGGGAUAACCCCGGAAAACUGGGGAUAAUACCUCAUAGACCAGGGAUGCUGGAAUGCUUUCUGGUCCAAAGGUCCGCCGCCUCAGGAUGGGUCUGCGGCCGAUUAGGUUGUUGUUGGGGUAACGGCCCAACAAGCCUUUGAUCGGUACGGGUUGUGGGAGCAAGAGCCCGGAGAUGGAUUCUGAGACACGAAUCCAGGCCCUACGGGGCGCAGCAGGCGCGAAAACUUUACAAUGCGAGAAAUCGUGAUAAGGGAACCCCGAGUGCCCGUAAAUCCGGGCUGUCCGCCAGUGUAAAUAACUGGUGAAGAAAGGGCCGGGCAAGACCGGUGCCAGCCGCCGCGGUAAUACCGGCGGCUCGAGUGGUGGCCGCUAUUACUGGGCUUAAAGCGUUCGUAGCUGGGCUGUUAAGUCCCCUGGGAAAUCCACCGGCUCAACCGAUGGGCGUUCAGGGGAUACUGGCAGCCUAGGGACCGGGAGAGGUGAGGGGUACUCCAGGGGUAGGAGUGAAAUCCUGUAAUCCUUGGGGGACCACCUGUGGCGAAGGCGUCUCACUAGAACGGCUCCGACAGUGAGGAACGAAAGCUGGGGGAGCAAACCGGAUUAGAUACCCGGGUAGUCCCAGCUGUAAACGAUGCGCGUUAGGUGUAUCGGUGACCACGAGUCACCGAGGUGCCGAAGAGAAAUCGUGAAACGUGCCGCCUGGGAAGUACGGUCGCAAGGCUGAAACUUAAAGGAAUUGGCGGGGGAG
rnacentral:rRNA from 1 species